UUCCGGUUGACCCUGCCGGACCCCACUGCUAUCGGGGUGGGACUAAAACAUGCAAGUCGAGCGCCUCCAAGCUAUGGUGAAGGCGCGGCAAACGGCUCAGUAACACGUGGCCAACCUACCCUUGGGACGGAGACAACCCCGGGAAACUGGGGCUAAUCCCCGAUAGGUGAGGAAUCCUGGAAUGGACCCUCGCCCAAAAGACGUUGAGUCCAUGCUAUUCAGCGUCGCCCAAGGAUGGAGCCGCGACCGAUCAGGUAGUUGGUGAGGCAACGGCUCACCAAGCCUAUAACCGGUACGGGCCGUGAGAGCGGGAGCCCGGAGAUGGGCACUGAGACAAGGGCCCAGGCCCUACGGGGCGCAGCAGUUGCGAAAACUCCGCAAUGCGCGAAAGCGUGACGGGGCUACCCCGAGUGCCGCCCGUUGAGGGCGGCUUUUCCACGGUGUAAGGAGCCGUGGGAAUAAGGAGAGGGCAAGACUGGUGUCAGCCGCCGCGGUAAUACCAGCUCUCCGAGUGGUGGGGACGAUUAUUGGGCUUAAAGCGUUCGUAGCCGGCUUAACAAGUCUUCCGUUAAAUCCAACGAUCUAAUCGUUGGGCUGCGGGAGAUACUGUUGGGCUAGGAGGCGGGAGAAGCCGACGGUAUUCUCGGGGUAGGGGUGAAAUCCUGUAAUCCCGGGAGGACCACCAGUGGCGAAGGCGGUCGGCUAGAACGCGCUCGACGGUGAGGGACGAAAGCUGGGGGAGCGAACCGGAUUAGAAACCCGGGUAGUCCCAGCUGUAACGAUGCGCGCUAGGUGUUGGGGUGGCCACUAGCCACUUCAGUGCCGCAUGGAAGCAAUUAAGCCCGCCGCCUGGGGAGUACCGUCUGCAACGCUGAAACCUAAAGGACUGGCCGGGGAGCACCACACGCGUGAAGCUUGCUGUAAUUGGACUCCAACGCC
rnacentral:rRNA from 1 species